UACGGAGGGCGCAAGCGUUGUUCGGAAUCACUGGGCGUAAAGCGCGUGUAGGCGGCUUGGCAAGUCGGGUGUGAAAUCCCGAGGCUCAACCUCGGAACUGCACUCGAAACUGCUUGGCUAGAGUCCCGGAGAGGGUGGCGGAAUUCCCGGUGUAGGGGUGAAAUCCGUAGAUAUCGGGAGGAACACCAGUGGCGAAGGCGGCCACCUGGACGGUGACUGACGCUGAGACGCGAAAGCGUGGGGAGUAAACAGG
rnacentral:rRNA from 1 species